rnacentral:rRNA from 1 species
UGCCCUUGGGUCCGGCUAACCCGGGAAAUGGGGAUAAUUCCGGAUAACGCACAUAUGCUGGAAUGCUUUAUGCGUAAAAUGGAUUCGUCUGCCCAAGGAUGGGUCUGCGGCCUAUCAGGUAGUAGUGGGUGUAAUGUACCUACUAGCCAACAACGGGUACGGGUUGUGAGAGCAAGAGCCCGGAGAUGGAUUCUGAGACAUGAAUCCAGGCCCUACGGGGCGCAGCAGGCGCGAAAACUUUACAAUGCGGGAAACCGUGAUAAGGGGACACCGAGUGCCAGCAUCAUAUGCUGGCUGUCCAGGUGUGUAAAAUACACCUGUCAGCAAGGGCCGGGCAAGACCGGUGCCAGCCGCCGCGGUAACACCGGCGGCCCGAGUGGUGAUCGUGAUUAUUGGGUCUAAAGGGUCCGUAGCCGGUUUGGUCAGUCCUCCGGGAAAUCUGACGGCUUAACCGUUAGGCUUUCGGGGGAUACUGCCAGGCUUGGAACCGGGAGAGGUAAGAGGUACUACAGGGGUAGGAGUGAAAUCUUGUAAUCCCUGUGAGACCACCUGUGGCGAAGGCGUCUUACCAGAACGGGUUCGACGGUGAGGGACGAAAGCUGGGGGCACGAACCGGAUUAGAUACCCGGGUAGUCCCAGCCGUAAACGAUGCUCGCUAGGUGUCAGGCAUGGCGCGACCGUGUCUGGUGCCGCAGGGAAGCCGUGAAACGAGCCACCUGGGAAGUACGGCAACAAGGCUGAAACU